AAAAAAAAAAAGGGGCCGGGCGCGGUGGCUCACGCUUGUAAUCCCAGCACUUUGGGAGGCCGAGGCGGGCGGAUCACGAGGUCAGGAGAUCGAGACCACGGUGAAACCCCGUCUCUACUAAAAAUACAAAAAAUUAGCCGGGCGCGGUGGCGGGCGCCUGUAGUCCCAGCUACUCGGAGAGGCUGAGGCAGGAGAAUGGCGUGAACCCGGGAGGCGGAGCUUGCAGUGAGCCGAGAUCGCGCCACUGCACUCUAGCCUGGGCGACAGAGCGAGACUCCGUCUCAAAAAAAAAAAAAAAAAAAAAAAAAAAAAAAAAAAGGAAAUCCUGUCACAUGCUGCCACAUGGAUGAACCCUGAAGACCUUAUGCUUAGAGAAAAAGCCAGGCACAAAGGACAAAAGCCAUAUGAUUCUACUCACAGGAGGAGCUCCCUAGAGAAGUCAAACCCACAGACACGGACGUGGAGUUUUCGUCGGCAAGAUGAAAGCGGUCCAGCGCUCUGCUGCCCACCCUCGUGCACGUAGUAAACACCGCUGCCCUGUGCACUUACACAGGUUACAGAGGGGCAAUUCUGUGACGUGUUUUCCACCAGAAUGUUUAAAAGGAAAAGAUAAGAAACACUAGCUGGCCAAGGGCCCUUCUGGUACAAUUCCUCUCCGCCUGCUGAUGGGGGAAGAUAAGGACAACUGGUCCCUGGAGCUGAGGCCUGGCAUGCGUGGGGCAGGGGCUCCCGAUGAGGAGAUGGGGGAAGACAGGGGAAGGCCCCCCCAGACCCCUGGGGAGCCCAGCUGCAGGACAGGGUGUCAGCAGGUGGCUGCAGGAGUUGAUCUGUGUCCACUUUAAGUGCAGAACUGGCGAUCAAGCCGGGCCCCCCGCUUGCAGUUGUGAAGUGGGCCCUCUCUUCAUCAGCUCUGCUCUCCUGCCUCCGGCCGUGGGCCCUGUGAGGGAUUCCCGGGCCACCUGGGGGGCCCACCUGUGCCCUGUCUCCUCUCUAUGCCCCAGGGCCACUGCUGCAGAGCAGUGCUGGGUUUAGCUGGUGGGACCCGGGGACAUGGCUAACGCUUCCCAGAAAGGCGACCCUUGGGCAUGUGGGGGGUGUGGUAUGAGAUGUGUGUGUGGUGUGUGAGGUCUGUGUAUGUCUGUGUGUGGCGUGUGAGGUCUGUGUAUGUGAAUGUGGGGUCUGUGUGUGUGGUAUAUGUGUGUGAUUGUUGUGUGAGGUCUGUCUGUGUGUGGUGUGUGAGGUCUGUGUGUGGUGUGUGUGAGGUCUGUGUGUGUGGUGUGUGUGUGAGGUCUGUGUGUGGUGUGUGUGUGAGGUCUGUGUGUGUGGCAUGUGCAGUGUGAGUGUGUGUAUGUCUGUGCGGUGGCGUCUGUGUGUAUGUGGUGU